rnacentral:sRNA from 1 species
GCUAGGUGCAGUAGCACAUGCCUGUAAUCCCAGCAAUUUGGGAAGCUGAGGCAGGAGGAUCACAGGUUGGAGGGCAACCUCAGCAACUUUGUGGGAUUCUGUCUCAA